rnacentral:rRNA from 1 species
AGUUUGAUUCUACUCAGAUUGAACGCUGGCGGGAUGCUUUACAUGAUAAAGUCAGAACGGCAGCACGGACUUCGGUCUGUGGCGAGUGGCGAACGGGUGAGUAAUGUAUCGGAACGUGCCUAGUAGCGGGGGAUAACUACGCGAAAGCGUAGCUAAUACCGCAUACGCCCUUCGGGGAAAGCGGGGGACCUUCGGCCUCGCACUAUUAGAGCGGCCGAUAUCGAUUACCAGCUGGCGGGUAACGACUUACUGGUGCGACGAUCAUAUUGGCUUGAGAGGACGCAGACCAGCCACCACUGGGUCUGAGACAUCGGCCCAGACUCCUACGGGAGGCAGCAGUGGGGAAUUUUGGACAAUGGGGGAAACCUGAUCCAGCCAUCUCAAGUGUGCGAUGAAGGCCUUCGGGUUGUAAAGCACUUUUGGCAGGAAAGAAACGGCACGGGAUAAUACCCUGUGCAACUGACGGUACCUGCAGAAUAAGCACCGGCUAACUACGUGCCAGCAGCUGCGGUAAUACGUAGGUGUUGCCAAUCGGAAUUUUACCGGGCGUAAAGCGUGCGCAGGCGGUUCGGAAAGAAAGAUGUGAAAUCCCAGGAGCUUAACUUUGGAACUGCAUUUUUAACUACCGAGCUAGAGUGUGUCAGAGGGAGGUGGGAUCUCCGUGAGUAAAGAACCGCUAGGGACGCGCGGAGGAAUAUCGACACAUGGCAGCUGCAGCUCCCCGCGAUAACACUGACGCUCGCACGCAUCGAAGCAAAACGGAGCAAACAGGAUUCAGGACACCCCUGGUAAGCAGUCCACGCCGCCAAACGAUGUCAAAUCUUCAUCGUUGGGGCCUUCGGGCCUUGCAGCGCAGCUAACGCGCAAAGUUGACCGCCUGGGGAGUACGGUCGCAAGAUUAAAACUCAAAGGAAUUGACGGGGACUCGCACAGCGGUGGAUGAUGUGGAUUAAUUCGAUGCAACGCGAAAAACCUUUACCUACCCUUGACAUGUCUGGAAUCCCGAAGAGAUUUGGGAGUGCUCGCAAGAGAACCGAACACAGGUGCUGCAUGGCUGUCGUCAGCUCGUGUCGUGAGAUGUUGGGUUAAGUCCCGCAACGAGCGCAACCCUUGUCAUUAGUUGCUGCUGAAAGGGCAAUUUAAUGAGACUGCCGGUGACAAACCGGAGGAAUGCUCGUGGGGAAGGGAGCUCGACGUCAAGUCCUUCACGCAUCCCAGGGCAGUAGGGCUUCACACGUCAUACAAUGGUCGGGCAGAGGGUCGCCACCCGCGAGGGGAGCCAAUCCUAUGCAGUCCGAUCGUAGGCAUCCUCGAUCCGCAGUCUGCAACUCGACUGGUGAAGUCGGAAUCGCUAGUAAUCGCGGAUCCAGCACGUCGGGUAUGGUAUCCGGUCUUGCAAGAUCCGCCCGCUGCUUCACCAUGGGGAGGUUUUACCAGAAGUAGUUAGCGUCGAACCAAGAUGCUUAUCACUGUAGUGACCAUGACCAAGAAAUGCACUGCUGCAG